rnacentral:rRNA from 1 species
CACGUAGGGUGCAAGCGUUGUCCGGAAUCAUUGGGCGUAAAGAGCUCGUAGGCGGCUUAGUAAGUCGGGUGUGAAAACCCCAGGCUCAACCUGGGGACGCCACCCGAUACUGCUAUAGCUAGAGUCCAGUAGGGGAGUGUGGAAUUCCCAGUGUAGCGGUGAAAUUCGUAGAUAUUGGGAAGAACACCGAUGGCGAAGGCAGCCAUCUGGACCGACACUGACGCUGAGGCGCGAAAGCGUGGGGAGCAAACAGG